AUUGGGAAAAUUGUUGUUCUAGUAUUUCACUGAAUGUUCCCACACUGUCCACAAUCAUGAGUUAUCCUCGAUUGAGAAUUCUAAAGCUAAAUUGGGCAAGAGUGGAAAACCUACCAAAUGCAAUAGCCAAAUUGAAACACUUGCGCUAUCUUGAUCUAACAAGCUCCCAAAUUCGCAUUCUCCCUCCUACUUUCUGCAACCUUUGGAAUCUGCAAAUUCUCAUCUUAAAUGAUUGCAUCCUUCUCGAAGCUUUGCCCAAGAAGAUCAAAUACAUGACGAAUCUUCGUCAUGUAUUCCUAGAUGGAUGCCUCAAGCUGAGUGACAUGCCUUGCGGAAUCAAGGAAUUGACUCAUCUGAAGACGCUCACUCUGUUCAUAGUGGGUAACAAAGCAGGAAAUCAGCUGGAUCAGUUGCAGUUGUUGAAGAUCGGAGGAAGGCUUGAAAUCCGACAUCUGGAGAGAGCAAAGAGCGAAUUGACGAGAGCAAAGCUAUUUGAGAAGCCAAACCUAGCUCAUUUAAUCCUCAAUUGGGAAGGCGACUCUGCGGAGGCAAUGGAUGAGAAGGUUCUGGAAGGCUUGGAACCUCAUCCGAAUCUCGAGUGUUUGCAAAUAAGUGGCUUCAGAGGAAGGUAUGCUCCAGUUUGGAUGAAGAAGAUGGAGAAUUUGAGUCAAGUGAACAUGAGAUUUUGCUGUCGCGUCUGCCAUUAAUCGGUGAUCUGCCUCGUCUAAAAUCUCUGUAUCUAUGGGGCAUUGAUGCGUUGGAGUAUAUAGUGGAUGAAAAUGGAAGUCGGAAUUCGAAAUUUGCAUCGUUAGAGCGGCUGAGGAUUGCGAAUUUGCCGAGUCUGAGAGGAGUGGUGGAGGGAGAUGCGGUGAUGGAGGUGUUCCAGAAUGUUCGAGAGCUGUACAUAAAGGAUUGCAAUUUGCGUGAUCUGGAUCUGCAUCUGCCAUCGCUGCGAUCGCUCAGAUUGUGGAACCUGUAUGAGCUUAGUGCGCUGCCGCGGGAGAUGGCGUCGCUGUCGGAGUUGGUGAUUCGGCAGUGCCCGAAGCUGGUGACGCUGCCGCCGUUGCGGAUGCCAAAGCUGGCGUCGCUUGCGAUAUUCGACUGCCCGCAGCUGGCGGCGCGAUGUGUGAAAGAGGAGGGUGAGGAGCGAGAGAAGAUUGCCCACAUUCCCCAUCUCUUGAUUAGGUAACGUUUCAACGCGGCGAAUGAAGCUUGAGAGGAGGGAAGGGUGACUGGCUCGCUUAGGAUGACUCCAUCCAUUUGUUUUUCCACGUGGCGGAAUCCGACUAAUCUGCCCGACCGGGUUGCGGAUUAAAGCCGAAAGUCUCCAGCGAGUGGCACAGCGGCG